rnacentral:rRNA from 1 species
UACGUAGGGGGCAAGCGUUGUCCGGAAUUACUGGGCGUAAAGGGCGUGUAGGCGGUUUGUCAAGUCAGGUGUGAAAUCUUAAGGCUCAACCUUAGGACUGCGUCUGAAACUGGCAAGCUUGAGGGCAGGAGAGGAGAGCGGAAUUCCCAGUGUAGCGGUGAAAUGCGUAGAUAUUGGGAGGAACACCAGUGGCGAAGGCGGCUCUCUGGACUGUACCUGACGCUGAGGCGCGAAAGCGUGGGGAGCAAACAGGAUUAGAUACCCUGGUAGUCCACGCCGUAAACUAUGGGUGCUAGGUGUUGGGGGUAUCGAACCCCCCAGUGCCGCAGCAAACGCAAUAAGCACCCCGCCUGGGGAGUACGGCCGCAAGGUUGAA